UUGUACUUUUCCUCCGUUUGGAAGAAUUUUUUUUUCCCCAUAAGAUUUCGUCAGGACCGAAUCAAAUCAUUCGCCUGAUUUCUCCUUACAGCAAUAAAAUUCUCCUCACCUUUCUUUUAUAUUAACAAAUCUUUAUUAUCAUUCGCUGAUCCCUCUUCAGCUGUGGGGGAAUCAUUCUUCACAAAAUCAUGCGAUGUUAGCGUAUGAUUUUCUCGUGAAGAGAACGGGGUUUUCCCCCAAUUUUAAAUCUAGGGUUUGGAGCGAGGUCGAAUUGGGCUUCUUCUUGUAUUUCUAAUUGUUUGAUUGAAAGUUUAUGGCAGUGUCAGAUAAUUGAAAGGAUCGUCAAUUUGGAUUGAUUUGUAUCGGAGCUGUAAUGGCACGUUGGUAGAAUAUUUGUUUAUUUGUAAUUUUUUUUU